CACAUUUAAAUCAUUUAAAAGGUAUCCCCACCAUGGUCUCUUUAUCUAUUGCAGUGCGGCAGACGGUCUGAAGUCUAAGUUCGCGAGCUGCCGACGGUGGCGCGGAAGUCUUUGGUCUCAGUCUGGAGAGGCGCGGGCAUGCAGGCCGCUAAGGACCCCGUUCACAGCUAGAGCAGAGAAGCAAUCCCCUGGUGGAGUAUUUCACAUACCUGCCCAGGUGCUCAUUGCAGCAGGCUAAGACUUUAGCAGCACUUUGGAAGAACCAAGAUGCAGGAUCAGUUCCCUACUCCCUCCUUCCAUUUCUGUACUGCCCACCCAGCUGGCUCAGUUCCUUUCCAGGUAGAAAAUACUGGUGGGACUAAAACCCAAUGU
rnacentral:lncRNA from 1 species